rnacentral:rRNA from 1 species
AUUGAACGCUGGCGGCAUGCCUUACACAUGCAAGUCGAACGGCAGCACGGGGGCGAACCCUGGUGGCGAGUGGCGAACGGGUGAGUAACAUAUCGGAACGUGCCCUGGAGUGGGGGAGUAACUAGUCGAAAGACUAGCUAAUACCGCAUACGAUCUACGGAUGAAAGUGGGGGAGUCGCAAGACCUCAUGCUCGUGGAGCGGCCGAUAUCUGAUUAGCUAGUUGGUGGGGUAAGGCCCACCAAGGCUAAGACGGGUAGCUGGUCUGAGAGGACGACCAGCCUCACUGGAACUGAGACACGGUCCAGACACCUACGGGUGGCAGCAGUCGAGAAUUUUUCUUCAAUGGGCGAAAGCCUGAAGGAGCGACGCCGCGUGAGGGAUGAAGGGCUUCGGCCCCGUAAACCUCUGUCAUUUGCGAACAAACCUUAUGGUUGAACAUUCCAUGAGCUGAUUGUAG